rnacentral:tmRNA from 1 species
GGGGGCGAUCGGUAUCGACGUGAUAAUAGUAUUGUCGAAUUGCAUGCGGAGGAUAACAGUUCCCUCCUUAAUUAUCUGUUACAACUAUAAGUGCCGAUUACGGCUAUAUGGCUGCAGCGUAAGUUUAGCAGUCCGUUCCGACUUAAAUGAGUCUAUGGUUUAAAUCAGGAGCGUCACUUACAUAGGCUAGCCUUAAAUGUGUCCGCGCAUUUAAGAUGAAAUUCUAGCGGACUGGUUUGAACUAGUUUUUGUCUCUGAUACAAGUUCAAAUAAGAUGCCAAUCAGAUGACUAAGCAUGUAGAAAUUUUACAUUAAUCUAUUGCGGACGGGAGUUCGAUUCUCCCCGCCUCCACUU